AUGGAGCUUACAGGGGUCUGGGUGUCUCCCCGCAGAGCCCGGCGCACCAACACCCUGGGUCCACAGAGAACCCCAGGCCGAGGAGGAACCCGGCGCACCGCCCCUCCGGCCUGCCCAGCCGACUUCCAGGCGGGGUUAGGCUGGGAAGGGGCACCAGGUGGGUCCGAGUGUGGAAGGCUUCAGGCGGCGGCAGUUGGAAAACUGAAACCCGGGUUCCCGACUGAGCCGGCCCUGGGGACUCAGAAGGGAGCGCCAGGAAACUGGGGUGCGCCGUGGCUCCGAGGCGCAGAAGCGCCGGCUGCUGGGUCGCCGAGGCUUCUUUCCAGCCAGCAGGGAGCAGGGGACUCAGCGCAGGUCCUGAGACCUAAAGCCGCAGACCUAGCUCCGGCCGUUUCUGCCGAUCACACCUCCUCUCUAUUCCCGGCUGUUGGAAAUACGCAGCUGUCUGCGCUCCUGGGGCCUGGUCCCAGCAGGGACCUGCCUGAGCUCUGCCUCCCGCGCCCCGCGGGCCGCCGAGCCUCCACUGAGGUGCGCGGCCGGGACUCGCCCCAACAAACCGCCCAAAUCCUCCCCGUCAAGCUGUUGACGGGCCGAUUACUGACUUUGAAGUCAGAGGCAGACAAAAAGAAAUCCCCUGGGGGUGGCGGCGGGGNGGGGGGGGGGGGGGGGGGGGGGGGGGGGGCAGUCCCUGUCAAACCUGUUUGCUCACAACUGUCUCUUUCUUUCAAGAAAAUCAUUAAAGCAAACCUGUAGGGAGAGCAGUGCCCCGCCCGCUGGAGUCGAGGAGAGCCGCUUCUCCCGAGCGCGCGACGCGCAAAGAGCCACCAGGAGUUCUUUCGGGCAGACUGCUCGGUCGGGAGAAUGAGCGCUCCCUCAGCGCGCCAGGCGCCCGAGACUCUGCAGGAGGCUACUCCAUCGACCCCUGUGCGCUUGGCGCGCCUCCCACGGCCCGAGAGCCCGGGACUUCUGCCCACCACACGGGCCUCCUUCGGGCAGGCUCUGCAGGGCAGACCCGGGCCUCUUGCCUGCGGGUGCGAUUGCUUCCAGGGAACAACCACAACAAAAAAUGACCCAAUAGAAGCUGCGCUUGCCCCUGCCUUUCCUCAACUGGGCUUUAUCUAGGAGCGCGGAAACCUGGCCAACAGACGGCUCCGGAUGUCAGCGGGCGGCGCUGGCCCGGCAGAGGCAGUUGUUUGACUGUUACGUUUUUUUUCUUAAACCUUGGCAGCCGUUUUGCUCAAGGACACACUGGCCACAUUCUUCUGGGAGAUGCAGGAUGGUUGGAUCCCCUCCGCCCCUGGCUUCUUCUGGCGACCCUUUGCAGCUUUUCUUGCCCUUCCCCAGUUUUGGAUCCUACUCCAAACACCUUUGAUACCCUUCCAGUUUCUUUUUAAAUAUCAAUUUCCUUAGAACUGCUAACUUCAUUGAUGGGAAAGAUAGGCUACUUAAGAGUAAGUCGUACUGAGGUGGUAGUGGCUGGGUUCUGAGACACCUUAACAUUUACAUUUUAAAACAAGAUCUAGAUAACCUGCGGGAAUCUCUUCAGUCAUCUAAAACGGGGUGAUAUUUCAGACAGGGUAGGGCCUAGAGGACUUUCAUUGCAUCACAACAUCCAGAGAACGCUCUCUAGCGCAGGCAGCUUCUUUGGAGAGAUCCCAGACUGCCAAGGCCCAGGAAACUUGGGGAGCGGUGGCGCCAGGACUGCCCUGGAGGACUCGUUUUUCGUUUUUGUUUUUGUUUUUGUUUUCCGGCUCCUCCCCAGCUCAGGCCUUGCCACCAUUGUUCAAGCAGACAAUGAAUUUCAAGUCAUUUGAAUUUGAAUAUCCGGUAACUCACAAGAUUCCUGUUGAGAACCUUCAUCUAUUUACUGGGCUCACUGUACCUGUGUAUAAGUGUUAAAAGAGGAAGACAGAGGCAGAAGGGGCCCAUUAGAUUUGGGUUCAGGAGACGCUGGGGCCGGUGCUUCGUGCCUCCGCCGAGGGGCGCGCGCUCCUAGGCUGUGGCUGUGCCCUGGCCUCNNNNNNNNNNNNNNNNNNNNNNNNNNNNNNNNNNNNNNNNNNNNNNNNNNNNNNNNNNNNNNNNNNNNNNNNNNNNNNNNNNNNNNNNNNNNNNNNNNNCGCCGAGGGGCGCGCGCUCCUAGGCUGUGGCUGUGCCCUGGCCUCGGAGACCUCGCAGACCCAGGAGCACUGCUUGGGCUGAUUUCUUUCUUGGCGCUAUGGGAUGAGACUUGUCCUGGAGCCAGAAAUGCUAGCUCAGGGCAGCCGCAAAGUAAUGAAGAUACAACGUUAAGUUGCGGGAGAGUGUGGGCCGCUAGAAAUCCUGGGGCGUCCACACCACAGAACGCAACCCGAGACUUGCGGUC
rnacentral:lncRNA from 1 species